rnacentral:rRNA from 1 species
UACGUAGGGACCAAGCGUUGUUCGGAUUUACUGGGCUUAAAGGGCGCGUAGGCGGGCGAUCAAGUCAGGGGUGAAAGCCCCCAGCUCAACUGGGGAAGUGCCUCUGAUACUGGUAGUCUCGAGGGAGGUAGGGGCGUGCGGAACUUCCGGUGGAGCGGUGAAAUGCGUAGAUAUCGGAAGGAACGUCGGUGGCGAAAGCGGCGCGCUGGACCUCUUCUGACGCUGAGGCGCGAAAGCCAGGGGAGCAAACGGG